AUUCAACGGCCGCGGUAUCCUAACCGUGCGAAGGUAGCGUAAUCACUUGUUCUUUAAAUGAGGACUAGUAUGAAUGGCACCACGAGGGUUCUACUGUCUCCUUUUUUUAAUCAGUGAAACUAAUCUCCCCGUGAAGAAGCGGGGAUCUUUAUAUAAGACGAGAAGACCCUAUGGAGCUUUAAACAACCAACAUUUGCUACACCACAACAUUUUCCCUAAAAGAAGUAUAGCAUUAUGAUUUUUAGUUUUCGAUUGGGGUGAUCACGGAGUAAAAUGUAACCUCCAUGCCGAAAGGGUUUUUACCCUGAGCAAAAAGCCACAGCUUUAAGCACUAAAAAAUUAACGCAGUUUGACCCAAUAUUUUGAUCAACGAACCAAGUUACCCUAGGGAUAACAGCGCAAUCCACUUCAAGAGCUCCUAUCGACAAGUGGGUUUACGACCUCGAUGUUGGAUCAGGGUAUCCAAGUGGUGCAGCCGCUACUAAUGGUUCGUUUGUUCAACGAUUAAAACCC
rnacentral:rRNA from 1 species